rnacentral:misc_RNA from 1 species
UCCCAGUUCAAUGCUCAUUUUUUCAGCGGCACCAACGAUCUCUAUCGGCCCCGGCAGAGUACAUGAAACGACAACUCUGGUUCAGGUAAGGACAGCUAGCGAAGGACCAUAAGGCCGGUAACGUACGUUAUUUAACUGAGAACACUCAGAGCCCCUCUGGCUCUGACAACCACGUCGGUGCCCUCGUAGUCGACCCUCGUUCCGCUCCCUUACUCUGGCUUUGGUUUGAUUUUCCCAUUCUUACCUCCGGCGCUGAUGUGUCUGCCAUUUCACUCGAUACACUACGCCGCCGCCUUGAUCUGUGGGCGUCUACCAACGGCUAUCCUUCUGUCCUGUUUUCGGACCACGCCGCUCCGUUCCAGUCUGCCGAUUACACCGACCUUUGCCACUACUGUAUUGGCGUUGAAUCAUUCACCACCUUGACUUACCACCAUAAUUCAAAUGAUAAGGCUGAGAUCAGUGUUUUACGUCUCAAGAGCAUUCUUGGACAGUAAAUGGUUCCCCUGAGGAUGCUUUCAUCGAUCCCCUCCCGCUGCUGGUGUGUGCCUAUCAACGCCCUGAAUUCUUCUACGGGUGACUCCCCCUUCUUUCUUCCCUGAGGGGUCGAAUUCCACUCUCCGGUUGACACCGUUGUGAGACUCGCAUCGAAAACGUGGACCCGAUCUCUGGCUCCCAAGCGUUCAAAGGUUCACCCAUCGCACCUCACUCCUUGCGGCUGAGUCCUCUCGUGAGGAGCCCAGCCUGUCCGGGGAUGUGUUCUGUAAGCUCGCAUUGCAUAUCAACCAAAAAAGUUAAACAAGAAACACAGGAAUGCAAGUAGGCAGCUCAGUAUAUAUCAAG